rnacentral:lncRNA from 1 species
UUAUAUUGUGAUUAAAGUCAUCUUUGGCUUACAUGCAUAGAUGGACUUGGUAUGAUUAUGACCAAGAAUUAUUUGGUAUAAUCAUGAUCGUAAUGUGACGAAUGAUGUGGUAAAAGUCCUCAUUGGCCUGUAGUUCAUUGAUGGACAGUUGUUGGUAUGAUUAUGACCAAGGAUUAUUUGGUAUAAUCAUGACCAUUGAUGAUU